rnacentral:rRNA from 1 species
CGGCAAUGGAGGAAACUCUGACCGAGCAACGCCGCGUGAACGAUGAAGUAUUUCGGUACGUAAAGUUCUUUUAUUAGGGAAGAAUAAAUGAUGGAAAAAUCAUUCUGACGGUACCUAAUGAAUAAGCCCCGGCUAAUUAUGUGCCAGCAGCCGCGGUAAUACAUAGGGGGCAAGCGUUAUCCGGAAUUAUUGGGCGUAAAGGGUGCGUAGGCGGUUAAAUAAGUUUAUGGUCUAAGUGCAAUGCUUAACAUUGUGAUGCUAUAAAAACUGUUUAGCUAGAGUAAGAUAGAGGCAAGUGGAAUUCCAUGUGUAGUGGUAAAAUGCGUAAAUAUAUGGAGGAACACCAGUAGCGAAGGCGGCUUGCUGGGUCUUUACUGACGCUGAGGCACGAAAGCGUGGGGAGCAAACAGGAUUAGAUACCCUGGUAGUCCACGCCGUAAACGAUGAGUACUAAAUGUUGGGUAAAACCAGUGUUGAAGUUAACACAUUAAGUACUCCGCCUGAGUAGUACGUACGCAAGUAUGAAACUUAAAGGAAUUGACGGGACUCCGCACAAGCGGUGGAUCAUGUUGUUUAAUUCGAAGGUACCCGAAAAACCUCACCAGGUCUUGACAUGCUUCUGCAAAGCUGUAGAAACACAGUGGAGGUUAUCAGUUGCACAGGUGGUGCAUGGUUGUCGUCAGCUCGUGUCGUGAGAUGUUGGGUUAAGUCCUGCAACGAGCGCAACCCUUAUUGUUAGUUGCCAGCACGUAAUGGUGGGGACUUUAGCAAGACUGCCAGUGAUAAAUUGGAGGAAGGUGGGGACGACGUCAAAUCAUCAUGCCCCUUAUGACCUGGGCUACAAACGUAAUACAAUGGCUGUUACAAAGGGUAGCUGAA